CCGAGCUUGCUUGGUGCGAGUAAAGUGGCGCACGGGUGAGUAACGCGUGGGUAAUCUACCUUCGAACCGGGGAUAACACUUCGAAAGGGGUGCUAAUACCGGAUGACAUCCAUUGGGUUUCGGUCCGAUGGAUCAAAGAUGGCCUCUCCAUGGAAGCUGUUGUUCGAAGAUGAGCCCGCGUCCCAUUAGCUAGUUGGUGGGGUAAAGGCCCACCAAGGCGACGAUGGGUAGCUGGUCUGAGAGGAUGAUCAGCCACACUGGCACUGACACACGGGCCAGACUCCUACGGGAGGCAGCAGUGAGGAAUUUUGCGCAAUGGGGGUAACCCUGACGCAGCAACGCCGCGUGAGUGAUGAAGGCUUUCGGGUCGUAAAACUCUGUCGAGUGGGAAGAACCCGCAUGAGUCCAACAGGUUCAUGCGCUGACGGUACCACUGGAGGAAGCACCGGCUAACUCCGUGCCAGCGGCCGCGGUAAUACGGAGGGUGCAAGCGUUAUUCGGAAUUACUGGGCGUAAAGGGCGCGCAGGCGGCUGGAUAAGUCAGUAGUGAAAGCCCAGGGCUCAACCCUGGAAGUGCUGCUGAAACUGUUUAGCUUGAGUAUGGUAGAGGGAAGUGGAAUUCCUGGUGUAGCGGUGAAAUGCGUAGAUAUCAGGAGGAACACCGGUGGCGAAGGCGGCUUCCUGGACCAAUACUGACGCUGAGGCGCGAAGGCGUGGGUAGCAAACAGGAUUAGAUACCCUGGUAGUCCACGCAGUAAACGUUG
rnacentral:rRNA from 1 species